rnacentral:rRNA from 1 species
CACUAUUAGCUAGUUGGUAGGGUAAUGGCCUACCAAGGCGACGAUGGUUAGCGGGCGUGAGAGCGUGGCCCGUCUCACUGGGACUGAGAUACUGCCCAGACACCUACGGGUGGCUGCAGUCGAGAAUCUUCCGCAAUGGGGGCAACCCUGACGGAGCGACGCCGCGUGCGGGAUGAAGGCCUUCGGGUUGUAAACCGCUGUCACGCAUUAAGAAGGGUCCGGGGUUAACAGCGCUGGGCCUUGACGAAGGUGCGGGAGGAAGCCACGGCUAACUCUGUGCCAGCAGCCGCGGUAAGACAGAGGUGGCGACCGUUGUUCGGAAUCACUGGGCAUAAAGCGCGCGUAGGCGGCAUAGUAAGUCGGGUGUGAAAUCCCUCGGCCCAACCGAGGAACUGCGCUCGAAACUACUUUGCUUGAGGGCAGGAGGGGAGCCUGGAAUUCCUGGUGGAGCGGUGAAAUGCGUUGAUAUCAGGAGGAACACCGGCGGCGAAGGCGAGGCUCUGGCCUGUUUCUGACGCUGAGGCGCGAAAGCUAGGGGAGCAAACGGGAUUAGAUACCCCGGUAGUCCUAGCCGUAAACGAUGGGCACUAAGUAGAGGGGUU